rnacentral:rRNA from 1 species
GUGGGGAAUCUUGCGCAAUGGGCGAAAGCCUGACGCAGCCAUGCCGCGUGAAUGAUGAAGGUCUUAGGAUUGUAAAAUUCUUUCACCGGGGACGAUAAUGACGGUACCCGGAGAAGAAGCCCCGGCUAACUUCGUGCCAGCAGCCGCGGUAAUACGAAGGGGGCUAGCGUUGCUCGGAAUUACUGGGCGUAAAGGGCGCGUAGGCGGAUCGUUAAGUCAGAGGUGAAAGCCCAGGGCUCAACCUUGGAAUUGCCUUUGAUACUGGCUGUCUUGAGUUUGGGAGAGGUGAGUGGAACUCCGGGUGUAGAGGUGAAAUUCGUAGAUAUUCGGAAGAACACCAGUGGCGAAGGCGACUCACUGGCCCAAUACUGACGCUGAGGCGCGAAAGCGUGGGGAGCAAACAGGAUUAGAUACCCCUGUAGUCC